rfam:Elusimicrobia bacterium RIFCSPLOWO2_01_FTLL_59_12 rifcsplowo2_01_scaffold_8695, whole genome shotgun sequence.
ACAGUUCCGGCAUUAGACUUUAAGGCUCUUUGAAUCGAGGCCGUAAGAGGAACCUGGUGUGAUUCCAGGACUGCCCCGCAACGGUAAGUGACAGCAGAUGAUUUGAUGACUGGAUGGUUAGAUGACCGGUCAUCGAGUAGUCCGGUCAUCUGGCGUCUUAAGUCCGGUCGACUUGCGGCCUCCAAAAUUCUGAA